GUGUAAGUAUGAACUAAUUCAGACUGUGAAACUGUGAAUGGCUCAUUAAAUCAGUUAUAGUUUGUUUGAUGGUAUCUGCUACUCGGAUAUCCGUAGUAAUUCUAGAGCUAUAUGGCCAUCGUGUUGGCGAUGCAUCGUUUAAAUUUCUGCCCUACAAACUUUUGAUGGUAGGAUAGUGGCCUAUUGUCAUCCCCUUAGGCUUAGGGCAUGGUGGCUGGCGUAGGAUUCUUGAC
rnacentral:ncRNA from 1 species